GACGAACGCUGGCGGCGUGCCUAAUACAUGCAAGUAGAACGCUGAAGGAGGAGCUUGCUCUUCUGGAUGAGUUGCGAACGGGUGAGUAACGCGUAGGUAACCUGCCUGGUAGCGGGGGAUAACUAUUGGAAACGAUAGCUAAUACCGCAUAAGAGUAGAUGUUGCAUGACAUUUGCUUAAAAGGUGCAAUUGCAUCACUACCAGAUGGACCUGCGUUGUAUUAGCUAGUUGGUGGGGUAACGGCUCACCAAGGCGACGAUACAUAGCCGACCUGAGAGGGUGAUCGGCCACACUGGGACUGAGACACGGCCCAGACUCCUACGGGAGGCAGCAGUAGGGAAUCUUCGGCAAUGGACGGAAGUCUGACCGAGCAACGCCGAGUGAGGGAAGAAGGGUUUCGGAUCGUAAAGCUCUGUUGUAAGAGAAGAACGAGUGUGAGAGUGGAAAGUUCACACUGUGACGGUAUCUUACCAGAAAGGGACGGCUAACUACGUG
rnacentral:rRNA from 1 species